CGCGAACGACAGGGGAGCGUCCGUCCCGCGUGCGGGGCGAGGACGCUGAGAGUGCGGACCACCGCAGACCCUCGAACCUGAUCCGGGUGAUACCGGCGUAGGGAGUCGGGCUUCUCUCCUC
rnacentral:ncRNA from 2 species